CGGUAAUUCCAGCUCCAUUAGCGUAUACUAAAGUUGCUGCGGUUAAAAAGCUCGUAGUUGGAUUUUGGAAGAACACCCCUGGGGUGCAUGGAGGGAGAGGGUAUGGGAAGGUGGGCGCUCCUAGUGAGUGUCGUGCUUCCUUCCUCUUGCUUGCUUUCGCUAUCGUUUCAGAUAGCAGUGUCAGUUUGCGUUUCUGUGGUUUUAAUUAAUUGCGGAUUUAUCGCGCUGUCGAAUUUACUUUGAAAAAAGAGGAGCGUUCAAAGCAGGCCUUUUUGUUGCGGCCGUUGAACAUUUUAGCAUGGGAUAAUGGAAGAGGACUUUUUGUCCAUUUUGUUGGUUUUCAGACAAGAAGUAAUGAUUGAGAGGGACAGUUGGGGAUCUUCGUAUUCAGUUGUCAGAGGUGAAAUUCUUGGAUUAUCGGAAGACGAACUUCUGCGAAAGCAUUGAUCAAGGAUGUUUUCAUUAAUCAAGAACGAAAGUUGGGGGAUCGAAGAUGAUCAGAUACCGUCGUAGUCCCAACCAUAAACGAUGCCGACCAGGAAUUUGGGUGAGAUUUAAGCGUUGAGAGACGCUGGAUGUCGGCCCGAGCACCUUGAGAGAAAUCAUUGAGUUUUUGGGUUCCGGGGGGAGUAUGGUCGCAAGACUGAAACUUAAAGGAAUUGACGGAAGAGCACCACCAGGAGUGGAGCUUGCGGCUUAAUUUGACUCAACACGGGAAAACUUACCAGGUCCAGACACAAGAAGGAUUGACAGGUUGAGAGCCCUUUCAUGAUUUUGUGGUUGGUGGUGCAUGGCCGUUCUUAGUUGGUGGAGCGAUCUGUCUGGUUAAUUCCGUUAACGAACGAGACCUCAACCUGCUAACUAGUGGGAGAAAGUUUGGUGAUGAGUGGAGAGAAGGGUGAAGUGGGGGAUGUGGGCUUCGGUCUGUGUCUCGGCUUUGCGUGAAUCUUCGUUGCCGCUUUCUUUGUUAGAGAAACCACUUCUUAGAGGGACUAUUCGUAUCCAGCGAAUGGAAGUUUGAGGCAAUAACAGGUCUGGAAUGCCCUUAGAUGUCCUGGGCCGCACGCGUGCUACACUGAACGGUUGAGCGAGUAUGCUUUGGUUGACCUUGCUCGGAAGGGCUGGGGAAUCUUGGCGAGCGCCGUUCGUGAUGGGGAUAGAUUUUUGCAAUUUUCGAUCUUGAACGAGGAAUUCCUAGUAGGCGCGAGUCAACAACUCGCACCGAUUUCGUCCCUGCUCUUUGUACACACCGCCCGUCGCUCCUACCGAUGAAUGAAUCGGUGAGAAUUUGGGAGAGCUGAAGAGAGGAUUUGGGUUGGAAACGGCCUUUGUCUGAAACGUGUCGAGAGAUGGGGGAGCUACAAACUUGUUCAAACCUGUUCAUUUAGAGGAAGGAGAAGUCGUAACAAGGUAACC
rnacentral:rRNA from 1 species